rnacentral:rRNA from 1 species
UGACGCAGAGCCUGAUGCAGCGACGCCGCGUGAGGGAUGACGGCCUUCGGGUUGUAAACCUCUUUCAGUAGGGAAGAAGCGAAAGUGACGGUACCUGCAGAAGAAGCGCCGGCUAACUACGUGCCAGCAGCCGCGGUAAUACGUAGGGCGCAAGCGUUGUCCGGAAUUAUUGGGCGUAAAGAGCUCGUAGGCGGUUUGUCGCGUCUGCUGUGAAAGCCCGGGGCUCAACCCCGGGUCUGCAGUGGGUACGGGCAGACUAGAGUGCAGUAGGGGAGACUGGAAUUCCUGGUGUAGCGGUGAAAUGCGCAAAUAUCAGGAGGAACACCGAUGGCGAAGGCAGGUCUCUGGGCUGUUACUGACGCUGAGGAGCGAAAGCAUGGGGAGCGAACAGGAUUAGAUACCCUGGUAGUCCAUGCCGUAAACGUUGGGCACUAGGUGUGGGGGACAUUCCACGUUCUCCGCGCCGUAGCUAACGCAUUAAGUGCCCCGCCUGGGGAGUACGGCCGCAAGGCUAAAACUCAAAUGAAUUGACGG